AUCUGAUCAGGAGGUGAAUUGAAAGGACAGGCUGUGAGUCGACUGCUGCCACAACCCAGGUCCAAGCAAAAAGAAAAUGUUGGAAAACCAGUGUUUUCCUCAGCUGAGUUCAAAACGAAGCAAAAAGCGUCUGCAAAACCUGGGCAACUGAAAAGUGAGGAAAUCCAGUCUGCUUCCAUAUAAGAAAAAAUGACAGCGCUGAAUCUGAAGGGUCUUUCACUUUGUCAUUAACAAAAAUCUAAUAAAUGUUAAAAUCACAGAACUUUAAGAAACCAUGUGAAGUCUAGACAGACAACCCAAUCAAAAAAUAGGCAGAAGAUCCAAAUAGACACUUCUCCAAAGAAGACAUACAGAUGGCCAAGAGGCACAUGAAAGGAUGUUCAGCCUAAUUAUCAGAUAAAUGCAUAUCAAAGGUUUAAUGUCACUUCACACCAGUCAGAACCUAAAUGUCCAUCAACAGAGAAAUGGAUAAAAAAAAA
rnacentral:lncRNA from 1 species